GUGGAAGAGGCAAAGAUACGCCUGGUAGAGAAAAAAGCGAAAAACAAGCAGGAGUCUGUUGACCAAAGAAGAAUUGCAGUUAAAACUAAAAAAUGAAGGCCAACUUGAAAGACCACCAAAAGAUGGAUAUGGCUUGUAUUUCAAACUACAAUUCACAAGUAAUUAUUUAAAGAAAUUUGUGACUAAAGAGAGAACAGCUGUAAUAGCUAGAAACUGGAGGGAAUUAAGUGAUGGAGAAAAAACAUCAUACAAAGACAAAGUCACUCAGAUGCAUUUUGAUUACUAUCUUGAACUCUCUCACCAGAACAUCGGUGUUCUAAACUCCAAAAUCGUCUGAACAAAUCUCAAAGAAAAAGGAAGGCUGCCAAAAAGGCUGAAGAUGGACAGGUAAUAUAGUUUCUGCUGAAAUUGAAUUAAUUAGCCUUAAACCAUAUUAAAUAUGAUUUUUGGAAUAUGAUAUCUGGAUCUCCGAGUAGUAAAAAAUACCAUGAAGUAGGAUAAAAAUUAUGAAUAUUAACUGUUAUUUUCUUUAUUCAAGACUAUGACCCUCAUAAAGAAAACACGUGUUAGUGGCCUUUGCCGUAGUGAAUAACUAAACUUCCCGAUUUCCCAACCUGGAAAGAAUUAGCGAGUUAGAGUAGCGUUCCAUAGACUUUCAGUUUCUACAUUCACUGUGCAUUCUCGUCACAGUUAACGUCUGAUGCGUUACUUUUUCUCUUCAAUUUUAGUAAUCUAAUUUAAUCUAAUCUUUUGUUUCCUCUCUCCCAUCUGAUGAAAUCAUUAAUUGUGUUAUGAAGAGCUUAUAGGAGGCCCAGUAUAAUGCAGAGGAGGAAGACGUGGAUUCAUAAGAAGAAAGAGAUUCAAAUGAUGAUCUAUGUUACUAUGAUUACACAGAUGAGACAAGUUCUGAUUCCAAGAAAUUGCUCUCUGAUUCUUCCGAGGAAGAUGAUAAACAAGACGAGGCAGAAGGUGAGGAUCAAGAAUUUGGAGGAUUCGAGAAAGCCAACAAUAAACAAUUUAAAAAAAGGGCCCGUAGGGCAAGAUACAUUAAUAAUCAAGAAAGCAAAAAAAAACUCAGUUUCGUGCCAUUUUCACGACAGUUCACAGCGUUUCUUCAAUUCCCACUGUAUAACUGUGAAUCAAUUUACAAAAUUUCUUAAUAUAACAACAUGGGUUUCGUAGAGCGGUGCGGCACAUCUGGAUGCCUUAACUAACGAAAGAGGAAUUGCUGAUCAAACUAAGAAUGAAGGGAAAUCAGACAAACCACCAAAAAACGGUUACUUUUUAUUUGCCAAACAACUUGUUUCAAGCAAUUCUUUAAAGCAUUUUGAGACUUAAGAAAGAAAAGUGGAAAUAGCUAAACGCUGGAAGGAAUUGAGUGAUUAUAAGAAGACUUCGCACCAUAACGAAGCCUUAGAAGUAACAUUUAUUAAAACAAGACGUUAUUCGAUGAUGUUGGUCACAGCUACGCGCAGGCAGUUUUCUGAGCAGGUUACUUUAAAAAUCUCUGCUUUUUCCUGAGCAGUGAAAUAAAACGCCAGGACAAAACGAACGAAACGGCAGCCAUGACAUGAAAGUUCUGAUCAGGUGGUGCUAAGCAGCAGGAAUGGCCUUACGUCAAACACACCAAUAACAAUAAAUAAAUAAGCAUAGUAGAAAUAUAACAAUUACAGCAGUAUAAAUUAAGGAAAAAUUAUAAUAAUUAUUUCAGUGAG